GGAAACGAUAGCUAAUACCGCAUAAGAGUAGAUGUCGCAUGACAUUUGCUUAAAAGGUGCAAUUGCAUCACUACCAGAUGGACCUGCGUUGUAUUAGCUAGUUGGUGGGGUAACGGCUCACCAAGGCGACGAUACAUAGCCGACCUGAGAGGGUGAUCGGCCACACUGGGACUGAGACACGGCCCAG
rnacentral:rRNA from 1 species